GCUAAAACUACAGUGCCAUACAAUAAACUAGUUUCUGCCAUUCUGGGUCCAGAAAGGAAAAAGGAAAAGACAUACACGGAGGUGCCGUAUAAUGAAAGGGUUUGCUGCUAGAUGGUGUCUAUUAUUUUGUAUAUAAGUAUAUAAAAGAGGAGAGAGUCCUUGGAAGAGAGUCAGCGUCUCUGUCGCUCGCAGAGAUAUGGAGAAAAGCAAAACGGUAAUCGCCUCAGAAACAUGUAGAGAUGCUGCAGAGAGCAAUAUUGGCAGAAAGAGAGAGAAGGAAAUUUUGAGUUGUCUUAUUUACAAUUUUGCUCCAUUUUCUUCGAUUUCUGUACUGAUGCACUCGGCAGCUUGUUAAUCAGUAAUCGGCUUAUCGCAGAUCAUUUAUCAACUCCCUACAGUUUAGCGUGCUAACCACUCUCCAAUCACUGUGCACCCGCAACUAUUCUUCGUCUUCUAGAGGCUACGCCCGAUUGGCUUUAUGGUCUCGUCAUUGUCACUGCAAAUGUAUUUGUUUAAUGUUAAG
rnacentral:misc_RNA from 1 species